GAUGAACGCUGGCGGCGUGCCUAAUACAUGCAAGUCGAGCGAACGGACGAGAAGCUUGCUUCUCUGAUGUUAGCGGCGGACGGGUGAGUAACACGUGGAUAACCUACCUAUAAGACUGGGAUAACUUCGGGAAACCGGAGCUAAUACCGGAUAAUAUUUUGAACCGCAUGGUUCAAAAGUGAAAGACGGUCUUGCUGUCACUUAUAGAUGGAUCCGCGCUGCAUUAGCUAGUUGGUAAGGUAACGGCUUACCAAGGCAACGAUGCAUAGCCGACCUGAGAGGAUGAUCGGCCACACUGGAACUGAGACACGGUCCAGACUCCUACGGGAGGCAGCAGUAGGGAAUCUUCCGCAAUGGGCGAAAGCCUGACGGAGCAACGCCGCGUGAGUGAUGAAGGUCUUCGGAUCGUAAAACUCUGUUAUUAGGGAAGAACAUAUGUGUAAGUAACUGUGCACAUCUUGACGGUACCCAAUCAGAAAGCCACGGCUAACUACGUG
rnacentral:rRNA from 1 species